AGCACGGWCCAAGGAGUCUAGCAUGUGCGCGAGUCAUUGGGACGAGCGAAACCUAAAGGCGAAAUGAAAGUGAAGGCGCGCUUCGCGCGCGCCGAGGGAGGAUGGGCCGCGCCCGUCGCGGCCUCGCACUCCCGGGGCGUUUCGUUCUCAUCGCGAGAAGAGGCGCACCCAGAGCGUACACGCUGGGACCCGAAAGAUGGUGAACUAUGCCUGGUCAGGACGAAGUCAGGGGAAACCCUGAUGGAGGUCCGUAGCGAUUCUGACGUGCAAAUCGAUCGUCGGAACUGGGUAUAGGGGCGAAAGACUAAUCGAACCAUCUAGUAGCUGGUUCCCUCCGAAGUUUCCCUCAGGAUAGCUGGCGCUCGCUGUGCGAGUCUCAUCCGGUAAAGCGAAUGAUUAGAGGCAUUGGGGUCGAAACGGCCUCAACCUAUUCUCAAACUUUAAAUGGGUGAGAACUCCGGCUUGCUUAAACGGUGAAGCCGCGAGUUUUUCAUUUAUAAAUAAGGAUCAGAGUGCCAAGUGGGCCACUUUUGGUAAGCAGAA
rnacentral:rRNA from 1 species